AGCGGAGGAGGAGUUGAUAAGGAGGGACGGGAAGGAGCGGCUGAGGGUGAAUGAGAUGCUGAUGGCGUUGUUGUUGCGAUUGGAUUCGGUGCGUGGGGUGAGGGAUUAUCGGAAGAAAGUGAUCCGGAGGGUGAUUUCGCUGCAGGAUGCCGUGGAUUCGAUCGCCGCCGCCGCUAGGGAUGAGAAGGAAGUCGGAGGGGAAGCCCUAGGCGCGGAGAAUGGAGCACCGGCCAAAACCCUUGAGUCGCCGGAGGAGGUAGGGGAGCACCAUAUCGAUGAAGAAGCCGUUCCUCAAGAAUGUGGAGAUGGGAUCUCGGAGGUUCGUGGUGGGUCUCCUAAGGGUUUUGGAACCCUGGAUGACUCCGUCGAAGAAGCCCUAGAAGCGAAGGAUGAAGCACCAAAAAGCAAGGAUCUUGCUGAAGGUUCUGUCCUGGUAGAAUCGAAGAGCGUCGAGGAAGGCAACAUUGGAGAUCCCAUGGAGGAAAC
rnacentral:lncRNA from 1 species